GACGUAGGGCGCGAGCGUUGUCCGGAUUUAUUGGGCGUAAAGAGCUCGUAGGCGGCUUGUCGCGUCGACUGUGAAAACUUGGGGCUCAACCCCAAGCUUGCAGUCGAUACGGGCAGGCUAGAGUUCGGUAGGGGAGACUGGAAUUCCUGGUGUAGCGGUGAAAUGCGCAGAUAUCAGGAGGAGCACCGAUGGCGAAGGCAGGUCUCUGGGCCGAUACUGACGCUGAGGAGCGAAAGCGUGGGGAGCGAACAGG
rnacentral:rRNA from 1 species